rnacentral:rRNA from 1 species
GAUGAACGCUGGCGGCGUGCCUAAUACAUGCAAGUCGAGCGAACAGACGAGGAGCUUGCUCCUCUGACGUUAGCGGCGGACGGGUGAGUAACACGUGGAUAACCUACCUAUAAGACUGGGAUAACUUCGGGAAACCGGAGCUAAUACCGGAUAAUAUAUUGAACCGCAUGGUUCAAUAGUGAAAGACGGUUUUGCUGUCACUUAUAGAUGGAUCCGCGCCGCAUUAGCUAGUUGGUAAGGUAACGGCUUACCAAGGCAACGAUGCGUAGCCGACCUGAGAGGGUGAUCGGCCACCCUGGAACGGAGCCACGGUCCAGACUCCUAAGGGAGGCAGCAGUAGCGAAUCUUCCGCAAUGGGCGAAAGCCUGACGGAGCAACGCCGCGUGAGUGAUGAAGGUCUUCGGAUCGUAAAACUCUGUUAUUAGGGAAGAACAAAUGUGUAAGUAACUAUGCACGUCUUGACGGUACCUAAUCAGAAAGCCACGGCUAACUACGUG